UACGUAGGGGGCGAGCGUUACCCGGAUUUACUGGGCGUAAAGCGCGUGUAGGCGGCUGGUCAAGCGUGGUGUGAAAUCUCCGGGCUCAACCCGGAAACUGCAUUGCGAACUGACCUAGCUGGAGUGCAGGAGAGGGCAGCGGAAUUCCCGGUGUAGCGGUGAAAUGCGUAGAUAUCAGGAGGAACACCAAUGGCGAAGGCAGCUCGCUGGGACGUGACUGACGCUGAGACGCGAAAGCGUGGGGAGCAAACAGG
rnacentral:rRNA from 1 species